rnacentral:tRNA from 1 species
GCGCCCAUGGCUCAAUCGGAUAGAGCGAUGGCCUCCGGAGCCGUAGGUUGGAAGUUCGAAUCCUCUCGGGCGCACCA